rnacentral:lncRNA from 1 species
NNNNNNNNNNNNNNNNNNNNNNNNNNNNNNNNNNNNNNNNNNNNNNNNNNNNNNNNNNNNNNAGCUGCAGGGGCGCUUGGCCGACGCGCCGGUCACUGCUUCCCGCUGCAGCCCACGAACCGACCCCGAGCCCUGCAGCAGCCGGACGCUGCCCUCACCGGGACUGUGCAAAGGGGGGGGGGUCCCUCCGAGCCCACGGGGACCCCCACGCACACAGCCCAGCGGUGCACGCAGCCACGGCCGAGCGCCCGGGGCAGAGCAGGGCCAGGUCCUCCUUUGUCAGGGAGCCGCGGCCAGGCUCCACGGUUCCCCCCUUCGGGGCAGGAUCAAGCCCAGGGUGACACCUGCGUGUCCCCCAGCCCUGCCUUUCCCCCUCCUCAGGGAUGCUCCGUGCAGGCGCCACCACCCAGGCAGCCCCCAGUCCUGCCUCUUCGCCAGCUCCGCUUCAGACACACCCAGACCUGAUGCCUGCAUCCUUCGCGGCGCCCCGCCAGCAGUUUGGGGCAUUUGACCUUGAAACAGCACCCCUGCCCCGCACCUCUCCCCCCUCCGUGGGGGCUGCCCCCCCCCAACCUGCUCCCCGGGCAGAGAUCGGCUCCGGCACCAGGAUUACGGAGGAAGCUGCGGUGGGCUGGCCACCGCCCAAGGAGGGAUGGGGACGCCGGACCUGCUGUGCAACGGGGCGGGGGGGGGGGGCCGUGCUCCGUGGGCGACGGGCUGGGGACACCCCGCAGGAGCCGGCCGCCCGCGCUGCCGAGCCUGAGAUGCCGCGGGCGCGCGGCAAACGGGCCCCGGCCCUGCCGCACACCUCGGCACGCCGCCGCACACCUCGGCACGCCACCGCACCAGGCCUGGCCACGCCCGAGCGAGCGCCAGGGAUGCGCUGCGUCGCAGCGGUGCCAGGCCACGGCCGCAUCCUGCCCCACCGCCCCGGGCUGCUACAGGGACCCCUCCCGCGCUGGGCGCUGACCCCCGGGGACCCGGGGGCGAGCGGUGGGUGCGUGGCAGCCACCGCUGCGGCAGGCCCUGUCCCCAUCCGAGGCGGGCUCUGUGCACGCACCAGAGCCGCCGGGUCCUGCCUGCCCUCCCGGGGGUGCCAGCUCUGCCGGGGGACCCCUGCCAGGCAGGCGGCGAAGGGGCACCCAGAGCUGCACCCGCCUGCCCCAGGGCCUGGUGCUGGGCCGGGCACAGCCCCGCUGCGGGGCAGGGAGGCUCGGGGCAGGGUGCAGCCCCAGCACGGUGCGAGGUGCAGCCCCGGCACGGGGUGCAGCCCUGGUGCGGUGCAGGGAGGUUCGGUGCAAGGUGCAGUCCCGGCGCGGGGUGCAGCCCCGGUGCAGGGAGGCUCGGUGCAAGG